rnacentral:rRNA from 1 species
UACGUAGGGCGCAAGCGUUGUCCGGAAUUAUUGGGCGUAAAGAGCUCGUAGGCGGUCUGUCGCGUCCGUUGUGAAAACUCGGGCUCAACCCCGAGCCUGCAGUCGAUACGGGCAGACUAGAGUGCUGUAGGGGAGACUGGAAUUCCUGGUGUAGCGGUGAAAUGCGCAGAUAUCAGGAGGAACACCGGUGGCGAAGGCGGUUCUCUGGGCCUUACCUGACGCUGAGGAGCGAAAGCGUGGGGAGCAAACAGG